GUAGGGUGCAAGCGUUGUCCGGAAUUACUGGGCGUAAAGAGCUCGUAGGCGGUUUGCCGCGUCGUCUGUGAAAACUCGAGGCUCAACCUCGAGCUUGCAGGCGAUACGGGCAGACUUGAGUACUGCAGGGGAGACUGGAAUUCCUGGUGUAGCGGUGAAAUGCGCAGAUAUCAGGAGGAACACCGGUGGCGAAGGCGGGUCUCUGGGCAGUAACUGACGCUGAGGAGCGAAAGCGUGGGUAGCGAACAGGAUUAGAUACCCUGGUAGUCCACGCCGUAAACGGUGGGCGCUAGGUGUGGGUUUCCUUCCACGGGAUCCGUGCCGUAGCUAACGCAUUAAGCGCCCCGCCUGGGGAGUACGGCCGCAAGGCUA
rnacentral:rRNA from 1 species